rnacentral:rRNA from 1 species
UUGCAGAGUCCCGUGAACCAUCGAGUCUUUGAACGCAAGUUGCGCCCGAGGCCAUUUAGGUUGAGGGCACGUCUGCCUGGGCGUCACAC